ACUCCUACGGGAGGCAGCAGUGGGGAAUAUUGCACAAUGGGCGCAAGCCUGAUGCAGCCAUGCCGCGUGUAUGAAGAAGGCCUUCGGGUUGUAAAGUACUUUCAGCAGUGAGGAAGGUGGGUAUGUUAAUAGCAUACUCAUUUGACGUUAGCUGCAGAAGAAGCACCGGCUAACUCCGUGCCAGCAGCCGCGGUAAUACGGAGGGUGCGAGCGUUAAUCGGAAUUACUGGGCGUAAAGCGCAUGCAGGUGGUUUGUUAAGUCAGAUGUGAAAGCCCGGGGCUCAACCUCGGAAUUGCAUUUGAAACUGGCAAACUAGAGUACUGUAGAGGGGGGUAGAAUUUCAGGUGUAGCGGUGAAAUGCGUAGAGAUCUGAAGGAAUACCGGUGGCGAAGGCGGCCCCUGGACAGAUACUGACACUCAGAUGCGAAAGCGUGGGGAGCAAACAGGAUUAGAUACCCUGGUAACGUAG
rnacentral:rRNA from 1 species